UCACCCGUCUUCUGCGUCGCUCACGCUGGGAGCUGUAGACUGGAGCUGUUCCUAUUCGGCCAUCUUGGCUCCUCCCACGUUUCAUAAAUUUCUAAGAUCAGCAAUGUGGGAGACAGGAGCUUCACCUUCAGGCUGGAUUCCAUGAUGGAGAAAAUACAUGGAGCAGACCAGCAGUUAUUUGCAGCUAUCAUGUGAGGGGCCAGUGUCAUUCAAAGAUGUGGCUGUGGAUUUCACCCAGGAGGAGUGGCGGCAACUGGACCCUGAUGAGAAGAUAACA
rnacentral:lncRNA from 1 species